GGGAACUACGAGCCAAGCUUAAAACCCAAAGGACUUGACGGUACCCCAUAUCCCCCUAGAGGAGCCUGUCCUAUAAUCGAUAACCCCCGUUUAACCUCACCAUUUCUAGCAACUCAGCCUGUAUACCUCCGUCGUCAGCUUACCACGUGAGCGCUAGUGAGCUCAAUGUUUUUUCAACUAAACGUCAGGUCAAGGUGCAACACAUGAAGUGGGAAAAGAUGGGCUACACUUUCUAAAAUAGAUCACACGGAAGACUAACUAUGAAAUCUGUUCAGAAGGGCGGGAUUUAGAAUUAAAAAGCACCAGAAAGUCCUUUUUAACCGGCCACUGGGGGUGUGUACUCACGGCCCGUCAAA
rnacentral:rRNA from 1 species